rnacentral:rRNA from 1 species
UACGUAGGGGGCUAGCGUUGUCCGGAAUCAUUGGGCGUAAAGAGCGUGUAGGCGGUCCGGUAAGUCCGCUGUGAAAGUCGGGGGCUCAACCCUCGAAUGCCGGUGGAUACUGUCGGGCUAGAGUGCGGAAGAGGCGAGUGGAAUUCCUGGUGUAGCGGUGAAAUGCGUUGAUAUCAGGAGGAACACCCAUGGCGAAGGCAGCAAACUGGGCAUUAUCUGACGCUGAGGCGCGAAAGCGUGGGUAGCAAACAGG